rnacentral:lncRNA from 1 species
AGCAGUUUUUGUUGCUCUCAUUUUCAGCCUCCAUUGCUUCAAGGCCAGUGAAAUGUUUUUGUCUUUUGGUUUCUUUUUGUUAAGCGCUUACUACAUCCCAGGCCCUGUUCUAAGUGCUGUGAUAGAAGCUAAUCAGGUUGGACACAGUCCAUGUCCCACAUGGGGCUCACAGUCUUAAUCCCCAUUUUACAGAUGAGGUAACUGAGGCACAAAGAAGUGGCAGAGCUGGGAUUAGAACCCAGGUCCUUCUUUCUCCCAGGCCUAAACUCUAUUCACUAGGCCACGGUGUUUAAGAGUGCUUCUUUACAGAAUACACACGUGAAAUUACCAGAAAAAUGACUUAAAUUUUUAAGAACUGUAUAAUGACUGCUGGAAAAGAUCUAUCGUGUGUUCACAGCCACUAGCUCACCUCCUUAGAGGCAUUACUUUUGUUUGUUCAGAUGACGUGAGCCCCUGACUUGCAGAAAUGUUUCUUUCCAUGUAAGACCACUCUGAGGUUCAAAGCUUUCCCCGUGCCUUUGUUCCUGCCUGCAAAUUUCUUUGAAUUUUCCUCCCAAUCUCUGUAUGACUUCAAUAGGCUUUCAUGAGUAUUUCUGUCACAAGUAAUCUACAUUUUAUACCCCACUGUGUAAAAAAGGUAAGAGUUCUGAGCUAUGAAAAGAUUUGAAAGCCAGAUUUUCCUUUUCCAAGUCAAUCUGACUUCAUCAUUCAAAAAUCAUAAAUUCAACCCCAGGUAGUCCCCUUUGUGUGAUUCUCUGUGUUUCAUCACUGUCUAACUUGAAAACAGGAACACCUUAAAAUGGGCUUGAAGGGCAAGUUUCAGACACCAGUAUUGCAGGGAUGCUUUGAGAGGCACAAUUUAUUCCGUUGGUUGCUUCGGUCACCCUAUUGUGGUAACCACGUUUGAAAUCAGUAGGGUUUCAAAUAUCCUAAAUGAUUCCAAGUUCUUCAAACCGUUUCUGUUCUUGCAGGCAGCUGGGUACUUGAUCAUCUGUUUUAAAGAGAAGUCUUCUGACAGGCAAGAUCACAUUUUUGUAUGGUUUGCAAGCUGCAGCAAGACACGGAAUCCACAUCAUUUGGGUCUUUAUUCAGUCUAUAGCACUACUUCAUCGGCAUCACCUUUAAACAGUAUUCAUCAUCAGAUGGCAUGACAAGAUCACCAGAAAUGAAAUCCUGGAACACAGUCAACUCACCAGUACUGGGACAUGUCCAUCACAAAGCCCCAGGAAGUUGAUAUAAGGAGAAUGAAUGACGGAAGGAUAUCUAAGCAGCUGAUGAAUGGAGAACUGAAUUGAGAACCCUACGCAAGUAGAAGGCCAGGGAAAAGUAUUUUUAAAUCAUCAUGAAGUACAGUCUCGGACACUGUAGUGAAGCAAUGCGCUGUUGAGGGAUAUAAUAAUAAUUGUGGUAUUUGUUAAGCGCUUAUAUAUCAAGUACUGAAAUAAGCACUGGGGUAGCUACAAGAUAAUCAGGUCCCACAUGGGACUCACACUCUAAGUAGGAGGGAGAACAGGCACUGAGUCCAUUUUGCACAUCAGGGAACUGAGGCACGGAGAAGUUAAGCGACUUGUCCAAGAUAACUCAGCAAAGUGGCAGAGCAGGGAUUAGAACACAGGUCCUCUGACUCACGGGUCCAUGUUCUUUCCACUACGCCACGCUGCUUAAAGAGAUUACCUUGGUCUGGCCUGUAGCAAUCAGAACGGUUACUCUCUUUGAAUAGGGGCCUUGGGAAAACACAAGGAACAAGUGGCCACAAAUGACAAAUACAUCUACAGUGGUAAAGGAUGAUCUUUACAGGUGCAUAAAGUGGAAUGCUUCCUUGACCACUGGAUUCAUUCAUUAAUUCAAUCUUAUUUAUUGAGCGCUUACUGUGUGCAGAGCACUGUACUAAGCACUUGGAAAGUACAAUUCGGCAACAGAUAGAGACAAUCCCUCUUUUUAACCCCAUCUGCUUUCACCAUCAGGAACAUCUUUGAAUACGAAGGACAGUUAUGUAUAUACAUCAGUAAAUCCAAAUGCAAUCAGACUCACUUAGAUCCUAGGAAAUAUAUUUGUGAAUUGCAUUUUAUUGUAAAAAUAAAUCUUGUGCUUCCAUUGCCCCCUUUCAAUCAAACCUCGGUCACUUGUCUGUGUGACCUUGGGCAGGACACUUCACUUCUCUGUGCCUCAGUCAUCUCAUCUGUAAAAUGGGGAUUAGGACUGUGAGCCGCAUGUGGGAUACGGACUGUGUCCAACCUAUCUUGUCUCUACCUCAGUGCUUAGUACAGUGCCUGGCACAUAGUAAAUGCUUCAUAAAUAUUUUUUUUAAAAAUUUAGGUUUGAAGGGUUUCUGUUCUGAAUAGCAAUUUGCAGAGGGAGGACGAUGACUAUGAUGCUAAUUCCUCUGGCAUCAAUUUGGGUAGAUAGUAAAACCUUUGAGUAAUGGUUUUCUUAAAUAUACUACCAUACUUAUUAAGUGCUAACUAUCUUCCAGGCACUGUACUAAGCAUUGGGGUAGAUCCAAGAUAAUCAAGCUGGACACAGCCCCUAUCCCACUUGGGGCUCACAGUCUAAAUCAGAGAGAGGAGGAUUUAAUCUUCAUUUUAGAGAGAGAUAACUGAGGCACAGAGAAGUUAAGGGACUUGCCCAAAUACCAAAGGUCACAGCUGAAAAAGUGGCUGAGCUGGGAUUAGAACUCUGUUCUCUGACUCGCAUUCCCAUGCUCUGUCCACUAGGUCACACUGCUUCCCUUAAUCUUUAAA